AAUACUCAUGGUUCCUAUUUCUGCAAAUGUAAAACAGGAUUCAAUGGAGAUGGACAGAAGAAUUGCUCAGAUAUCAAUGAAUGCGCUGCAAGUUCACACAGCUGUGACCCAAAUGCAGUUUGCAACAACACCAAAGGGUCCUUUUUGUGCACAUGCAAGCCAGGGUAUGUAGGGAACGGACAAUUGUGCGUCAAUGCUACCAGAGGACUCGAGAAAUCCUCCAUUCUUUCUAACUAUGGUAAUGACAGCUAUCUGCAGGUUCUAACAACAUAUCUAGAUCCUGUAUUGCAAGAUCGYGGCACCAGCCAUUGGAACCUGUGCUGGCAUGCCAACUCAGAUGGAUGGGACGUYGAAAAACAAUUUCACYCGAAAUGCGACGGUCGUGGACCUUCGGUUACCAUUGUUCGCGUCAACCAAUACAUUUUCGGGGGCUACUCUGACGUAUCUUGGCACAGUAAGUAUAGGAGAUGAUAUAUAUUGUAAUGAUUUGCGCACCUCUCCCCUAG